GAGGAUGAUGAUUUCAAAUUUGUCGCCCCAGUCUUAGGGUCCGCUUAGGUUGGUCUGUGCUGAUUGACAUACUACUUAAUCUGACCU
rfam:Triticum urartu cultivar G1812 contig917483, whole genome shotgun sequence.